CCAGCAGCNCCGGUAAUACGUAGGUGGCAAGCGUUGUCGGGAUUAUUGGGGCGUAAGCGAGCGCAGGCGGUUUCUUAAGUCUGAUGUGAAAGCCCCCGGCCCUACUGGGGAGGGUCAUUGGAAACUGGGAGACUUGAGUGCACCAUAGGAGAGUGGAAUUCCAUGUGUAGCGGUGAAAUGCGUAGAUAUAUGGAGGAACACCAGUGGCGAAGGCGGCUCUCUGGUCUGUAACUGACGCUGAGGCUCGAAAGCGUGGGGAGCGAACAGGAUUAGAUACCCUGGUA
rnacentral:rRNA from 1 species